rnacentral:rRNA from 1 species
AGUGGCGCACGGGUGAGUAACGCGUAGGUGAUGUGCCUGUUAGUGGGGGACAACAUCGGGAAACCGGUGCUAAUACCGCAUAAGCUUAGUGAAAUUGAAAAAGCUAAGGAAAGGGGGCUUCGGCUCUCGCUGACAGAUCGGCCUGCGUAUCAUUAGCUUGUUGGUGGGGUAAUGGCCUACCAAGGCGACGAUGAUUAACUGGUCUGAGAGGAUGAUCAGUCACACUGGAACUGAGACACGGUCCAGACUCC